rnacentral:lncRNA from 1 species
CCCGUCUCUACUAAAAAUACAAAAAAUUAGCCGGGCGAGGUGGCAGGAGCCUGUAGUCCCAGCUACUCGGGAGGCUGAGGCAGGAGAAUGGCAUGAAUCCGGGAGGCGGAGCUUGCAGUGAGCCGAGAUAGUGCCACUGCACUCCCACCUGGGCGAAAGAGCGAGACUCCAUCUCAAAAAAAAAAAAAAAAAAGGCAAAUUACGGU